AGUGAACGCUGGCGGUAGGCCUAACACAUGCAAGUCGAACGGCAGCACAGUAAGAGCUUGCUCUUACGGGUGGCGAGUGGCGGACGGGUGAGGAAUACAUCGGAAUCUACUUUUUCGUGGGGGAUAACGUAGGGAAACUUACGCUAAUACCUCAUACGACCUACGGGUGAAAGCAGUGGAUCUUCGGACCUUGCGCGAUUGAAUUAGCCGAUGUCGGAUUAGCUAGUUGGCGGGGUAAAGGCCCACCAAGGCGACGAUCCGUAGCUGGUCUGAGAGGAUGAUCAGCCACACUGGAACUGAGACACGGUCCAGACUCCUACGGGAGGCAGCAGUGGGGAAUAUUGGACAAUGGGCGCAAGCCUGAUCCAGCCAUGCCGCGUGGGUGAAGAAGGCCUUCGGGUUGUAAAGCCCUUUUGUUGGGAAAGAAAAGCAGCAGGUUAAUACCCCGCUGUUCUGACGGUACCCAAAGAAUAAGCACCGGCUAACUUCGUG
rnacentral:rRNA from 1 species